rnacentral:tRNA from 1 species
GGCUCUGUAGCUCAGUUGGUUAGAGCGCACGACUGAAAAUCGUGAGGUCAGCGGAUCGUUCCCGCUCGGGGCCA